GAUGAACGCUGGCGGCGUGCCUAAUACAUGCAAGUCGAGCGAACGGACGAGAAGCUUGCUUCUUUGAUGUUAGCGGCGGACGGGUGAGUAACACGUGGAUAACCUACCUAUAAGACUGGGAUAACUUCAGGAAACCGGAGCUAAUACCGGAUGAUAUUUUGAACCGCAUGGUUCAAAAGUGAAAGACGGUCUUGCUGUCACUUAUAGAUGGAUCCGCGCUGCAUUAGCUAGUUGGUAAGGUAACGGCUUACCAAGGCAACGAUGCAUAGCCGACCUGAGAGGGUGAUCGGCCACACUGGAACUGAGACACGGUCCAGACUCCUACGGGAGGCAGCAGUAGGGAAUCUUCCGCAAUGGGCGAAAGCCUGACGGAGCAACGCCGCGUGAGUGAUGAAGGUCUUCGGAUCGUAAAACUCUGUUAUUAGGGAAAAACAUAUGUGUAAGUAACUGUGCACAUCUUGACGGUACCGAAUCAGAAAGCCACGGCUAACUACGUG
rnacentral:rRNA from 1 species